rnacentral:rRNA from 1 species
UAAGGAAUAUUGGUCAAUGGACGCAAGUCUGAACCAGCCAUGCCGCGUGAAGGAUGAAGGUCCUCUGGAUUGUAAACUUCUUUUAUCUGGGACGAAAACGGGAUUUUUAUCUCAAUUGACGGUACCAGAGGAAUAAGCACCGGCUAACUCCGUGCCAGCAGCCGCGGUAAUACGGAGGGUGCGAGCGUUAUCCGGAUUUACUGGGUUUAAAGGGUGCGUAGGUGGGCUUAUAAGUCAGUGGUGAAAUCUCCGAGCUUAACUUGGAAACUGCCGUUGAUACUAUAGGUCUUGAAUUAUCUGGAGGUAAGCGGAAUAUGUCAUGUAGCGGUGAAAUGCUUAGAGAUGACAUAGAACACCAAUUGCGAAGGCAGCUUACUACAUAUAAAUUGACGCUGAGGCACGAAAGCGUGGGGA